rnacentral:misc_RNA from 1 species
UAUCCGUAGGUGAACCUGCGGAAGGAUCAUUAUUGUAUAACCGAGGUGCAAGGGCUGUCGCUGACCCGAAAGGUCGUGCACGCCCGAGUGCCCUCACACACAUCCAUCUCACCCCUAUGUGCACCACCGCGUGGGUCCCCCUUUGGCUUGUUCGGAGGGGGGCUUACGUUUUCACACAAACUUUGUAUGCAGUGUAGAAUGUAUUUUUUGUUUUUGCGAUCACGCAAUCAAUACAACUUUCAACAACGGAUCUCUUGGCUCUC